GACGAACGCUGGCGGCGUGCCUAAUACAUGCAAGUCGUGCGGAGCGGGGACGGGUGAGUAACACGUGGGCAACCUCCUGUAAGACUGGGAUAACGCCGGGAAACCGGGGCUAAACCGGAUCUUACAGAUGGGCCCGCGGCGCAUUAGCUAGUUGGCGGGGUAACGGCCCACCAAGGCAACGAUGCGUACCCGACCUGAGAGGGGGAUCGGCCACAUUGGGACGGAGACACGGCCCAAACUCCUACGGGAGGCAGCAGUAGGGAAUCUUCCGCAAUGGACGAAAGUCUGGCGGAGCAACGCCGCGUGAGUGAAGAAGGCCUUCGGGUCGUAAAACUCUGUUGCCGGGGAAGCGGUACCCGGCCAGAAAGCCACGGCUAACUACGUGCCAGCAGCCGCGGUAAUUC
rnacentral:rRNA from 1 species